rnacentral:rRNA from 1 species
AUUGAACGCUGGCGGCAGGCUUAACACAUGCAAGUCGAACGAUGAAGUCUAGCUUGCUAGACGGAUUAGUGGCGAACGGGUGAGUAAUGCUUAGGAAUCUGCCUAUUAGUGGGGGAUAACGUAGGGAAACUUACGCUAAUACCGCAUACGACCUACGGGUGAAAGGGGGCUUUUAGCUCUCGCUAAUAGAUGAGCCUAAGUCGGAUUAGCUGGUUGGUGGGGUAAAGGCCUACCAAGGCGACGAUCUGUAGCUGGUCUGAGAGGAUGAUCAGCCACACUGGGACUGAGACACGGCCCAGACUCCUACGGGAGGCAGCAGUGGGGAAUAUUGGACAAUGGGCGAAAGCCUGAUCCAGCCAUGCCGCGUGUGUGAAGAAGGCCUUUUGGUUGUAAAGCACUUUAAGUGGGGAGGAAAAGCUUAUGGUUAAUACCCAUAAGCCCUGACGUUACCCACAGAAUAAGCACCGGCUAACUCUGUGCCAGCAGCCGCGGUAAUACAGAGGGUGCAAGCGUUAAUCGGAAUUACUGGGCGUAAAGCGCGCGUAGGUGGUUAUUUAAGUCAGAUGUGAAAGCCCCGGGCUUAACCUGGGAACUGCAUCUGAUACUGGAUAACUAGAGUAGGUGAGAGGGGAGUAGAAUUCCAGGUGUAGCGGUGAAAUGCGUAGAGAUCUGGAGGAAUACCGAUGGCGAAGGCGGCUCCCUGGCAUCAUACUGACACUGAGGUNNGAAAGCGUGGGUAGCAAACAGG